GCUGUGAAGGCUCCUGUGUCCCGAUUGGAUGACGCCUCCAGCGUCCAUGUUUUUCCCGGAAAUUUGAACACACGGAGGAAAAACGAGACGCAGCACGAGUGUUUGUUUACAGGAAAACAUACCCAAAAAACAGCAUAUUAGCAAAACAGAGCUCAGCAAAAAGCGAGACCAAGAUGUGAAGAUGACGGUGAACAGCUGAAGAGACGCUGCAGCUGAUCGUCGUCACGAACAGCUGAUGCAGCAGCAGGAGGAGGACAGGCAGGACACAGACCAGUUUGGAGACAUUAGCUGAUGUUUGGAAACUGCGGCGUCUCCAAAACUGAGCGAAACGACAGGCGCUGUGAGCCGCUGCAAGGCUGCUGGAAGCGAGGAGAGCUGUCUCUGCCGAGGAAGAAAAGGAUGUUUGGAGAGGGAUCACAUCAGACAUGACAUUAGAUGAGGAACACACCGCAGAAGGCUGCGUUUUGGGCCACCCUGAGACAGACCGGCACCGACUGCAAACGACCCCGAAGCAACAAAGAGACAUUUCAAGCAUCUCAUGAAAUAAAAAAACAAUAAUAAAUAAAGCUUCAUAUUUUCAA